CGCGCGCGCGCAAACGCUGCCACGCGCGCGCAAACACCGUCUCACGCGCGAGAGGUGACAUGAAUUUCCUCACGCGCGCGAGCAGAAAUAUGAAUAUUUAAAUUAUCUCCUCCCACUGGUUAGCAUAACAAAUGAAGCGGAAGUUUGUUUAGUCCAUAAUAGUCAAACACAGAGAGCUCAGAUCUCAAUUGUUGAUAGACUAUCGUUGCUACGGUGACUGCAACCGACCACCUUUGAAACACAACUGAAACGCAACUCACGGCUGCUGCUGACAAGGGCAUUCACAUAUUUAUUCGUAAAACCAUUUUAUUUUUGGUGGAUGAAAACAUUGUGUCAAUAUGCUAUGUCUAUGUUCGCCUUAUUCACCCGGAACGUUCUAAAGACGUUGAGGGGUACACUUCAGGGGUACAUUCGGCAACGCACCAGCUGUCAUGGCGCCUCACUUGCUGUGUUGUGUGCCCAAAUGUUCGUCCUCAAAGAGAAAAAAAAUCCUACCGUGGACAGACUUUCCACCGUUUCCCCAAAGAGCAGGCACUUCGCACUGGAUGUAUAAAUCACAUCUAGAGGGGUCCUGGUCCAUAUUUCAAGAUCAACGCUGAGACCAAGGUUUGCUCUGAGCACUUUGAGAAGCAGUGUUUUGUAAAGACCACCCGUGUUAUCACAAAGCUUAUAAAGGAUGCUGUGCCAACUUUCGCCUGGACUUCAGAGAGGCCAAAGAGGAGAAUCAUCAUUCGCAGACCGAGAGAUGAUGACCCAUUCCUGAAGUUGGACGCCAGAAUGCAGGAAGGUGCUGUUUAAGAGCCUAGGCGGUGGAAGAAGCACUUGCAGGUAUGCUACCGACCAGGCUCCUCAACAUCAAUCCGAGACGGAAGAUGAAACGGGAUGAAGCAGUUAGAUUGAGACAAGGCGGCCGGAAACGUUGAUGACCUCAAUGACACUGGCUAGGUGAAGGACAUCAACAAAAUGGCAUCAGGUCACCAGACAUCAGCUCAUAAUCCACAACAUCAUCAACCAUUUUGCGCCAAAAAUGAAGCCGUUCACAUACCAUGGCAUCCUAAGCAGGCAGCACUACACUACUGUGCAACAGUGAGAGAGAGCGGGCAAGGACAAGUAAAGCGGACCUACACUACAGCAAGACUUUGACACUUCUCCACGUUAGAGGCAACCAUCACCCCCACCGUUGAGCAGCGGCUAUGUGUAACCCCCAAAAGAGGAGAUGAUCCGACGAUGUGUGUGUGGUGUGUGCGUGUGUGUGUGUGAUGUAUGAUAUUGUAACACUUCAGUCCUUCUUUUAUACUAUACAGUGUAUACAUAUACAUUUGUGGGUUUGUUUAAAAACCAUAGCUGAGGUUAAGAAAUGCAUUAUGACAAAUACAUCUGAUUCAGGUGUACUGUCUUUUAUUUGCCACAAAUAAAUCACAUCCUGGAAACCUG